UAGAGUUUGAUCCCUGGCUCAGNGAUGAACGCUGGCGGCGUGCCUAAUACAUGCAAGUCGAGCGAACAGAUAAGGAGCUUGCUCCUUUGAAGUUAGCGGCGGACGGGUGAGUAACACGUGGNUAACCUACCUAUAAGACUGGGAUAACUUCGGGAAACCGGAGCUAAUACCGGAUAACAUUUAGAACCGCAUGGUUCUANAGUGAAAGAUGGUUUUGCUNUCACUUAUAGAUGGANCCGCGCCGUAUUAGCUAGUUGGUAAGGUAACGGCUUACCAAGGCNACGAUACGUAGCCGACCUGAGAGGGUGAUCGGCCACACUGGAACUGAGACACGGUCCAGACUCCUACGGGAGGCAGCAGUAGGGAAUCUUCCGCAAUGGGCGAAAGCCUGACGGAGCAACGCCGCGUGAGUGAUGAAGGUNUUUCGGCUCGUAAAACUCUGUUAUNAGGGAAGAACAAAUGUGUAAGUAACUGUGCACAUNCUUGACGGUACCUAANCAGAAAGCCACGGNCUAACAAC
rnacentral:rRNA from 1 species